UACGGAGGGUGCAAGCGUUAUCCGGAUUCACUGGGUUUAAAGGGUGCGUAGGCGGGCUGGUAAGUCCGUGGUGAAAUCCCCAAGCUUAACUUGGGAACUGCCGUUGAUACUAUCAGUCUUGAAUAUCGUGGAGGUAAGCGGAAUAUGUCAUGUAGCGGUGAAAUGCUUAGAUAUGACAUAGAACACCCAUUGCGUAGGCAGCUUACUACACGAUCAUUGACGCUGAGGCACGAAAGCGUGGGGAGCAAACAGG
rnacentral:rRNA from 1 species